ACAGAUCAGUGAUGAAUAGUCAUUGAUUUAACCUUGCCCAAAGAGAGAUCUAGCUUUGUCUUCAUGUCCAGGGGGAAAACCUCUACAAAGAAUGUCUAUGUAGGACCAUGGCUACCAGAGAGUCUAACAAUGGGAUUUAUGAUGUAGGCUUUGAGCUAUGUGGUGUCAUUUCUCCUCCAGAGAGACAGGAGUCCAAAGGUAUCAGCUCUCCCUCCUGAGAAGCUGGAAAUUAAAGGUCAACCACAUGGCAGCCAACCCAGAGCCCAAUAAAAGUUCUGGACACCAAGAUUCGGUUCUGGAGCACUAAUACUGGAUCACAGAUACCAUCAAAGACCUGCCGUUGGCCUCCACUACAUAGGUGUAGGAGAGGACCCUACACUUUCCUAGAGGACCUCCUUCCCGGCCAUCCCGCUGCCGUCUCUACUUCCUCAAUGCAAUUUUCUUUAACUUUUCCAAUUUCUAAUCACGCUUCAAUUUUCCUACUAUAACAUUAGAACAUAUGUUCUUGAUCCACUACUGUUAACACUUUUAAAAAGGUAUUCCUGUCACCCAGUAAAGUGAUAGGCAUUUUUUAAAAUUAAUAAAUACUCUGUUGAUUGUGUCCUUUGA